rnacentral:rRNA from 1 species
UACGUAGGGCGCAAGCGUUAUCCGGAAUUAUUGGGCGUAAAGGGCGCGUAGGCGGCCACGCACGUCCGUUGUGAAAUCGCCCGGCUCAACUGGGCGGGGUCAGCGGAUACGGCGCGGCUGGAGCAAGCUAGGGGGCAAUGGAAUUCCCGGUGUAGUGGUGGAAUGCGUAGAUAUCGGGAGGAACACCAGUGGCGAAGGCGGUUGCCUGGAGCUUUGCUGACGCUGAUGCGCGAAAGCGUGGGGAGCGAUCCGG